GACGGGGGGAGCAAGCGUUGUUCGGAUUUACUGGGCGUAAAGGGCGUCUAGGCGGAUUUGUCAGUCAGGUGUGAAAUCCCACGGCUCAACCGUGGAACUGCACUUGAUACUGCAAGUCUUGAGUUCGGAAGAGGGAAGCGGAAUUCCUGGUGUAGCGGUGAAAUGCGUAGAUAUCAGGAAGAACACCGGUGGCGAAGGCGGCUUCCUGGUCCGAAACUGACGCUGAAGCGACGAAAGUGUGGGGAGCAAACAGGAUUAGAUACCCGUGUA
rnacentral:rRNA from 1 species